AACAACUUUCAAGGAAAGAAUAGUUCUGUGUAAGCUGUGAGACAAAUAACCAAUAACCAGAGUUCACACAGAGCUGGGAAUCAUUUGAGUUCCCUCUAGUCAGAGUAAACAGACCUUGGUGAAUACACACGACAUUCAGUAAAAAUCCUGGAAAGGCAACAGUUUGAAGUGGGGCUAAAUUAUUUCUCAAAUAAAUGCUACUCUAGAACACGCUAAAAGAGCCUAGAACAUACCUCAAAAGGAUCAAACUAAUCUGCAAGUAAAAGUCCAACAGAAAAGAUUCAACACUCUUCAAAGAAAUACAGAAUUUCAGCACCCAACAAUGUAAACUUUACAAUAUCUAGAAUCUAAUCUGAAAUUAAUAGACAUAUGAAGAAAAAGAAAAUAUGAAGAACAGUCAAGAGAAAAAUUGGUGGGCUCUAUGAGAUUAGAGGUUUUGGUCCUCAAAUGAGGUGCAGCUUGGCAGGAGACACAGCAAGUGUCCCAUUGAACUAUAUACUAUGGCUGUUCCUAUCUUUUUUCCUCUAUUGCCCACAUCUUUGUCUUUCAGUUCUGUUUUCUAAAAGACUUCCUCAACUUUAUCAUUCAACUUUUCUAGCAACUUUUAAAACUUCAGCUUUCUUACUCUUAAUUUCCAAGAGCUCUUUCUUAUUUUCCAGUUACUGAAUUGUUACAUAUAUCCCUUGAGUUACAAAACCCUAAAGAAUUUCAUAUUGUUCAAAAUGGGAGGCCAAGUGAAAUUCUGACUCAUUUCUGGUACUUCUUGCCUCUCACCCAAAUUGCUGAUGGUCCUGUAGCCACAUUGACUGCUUUUCUCAUAUGGCUGAUGGUUUCUUUAUGGGAUUAUCACUAUCUGAAAUGCUAUGUGCCUGGGCGCUACUAUUUCUUUAAAUUUUACAAAUGGGAGAGCUGAGACUUCUCAUCUUAGAUGACACAGCUAGUAGGUGGUGGAGCUGAACCAGCCAGCUGGGUGUAUUUACAAUGAUCCAAGCGACAUGCAAGAAGGAAGAAAAGGGGAGGGCAAAAAGUGCCUACUACGUGUCAGAUGCUUUAUACACCUCAGUGCAUAGAGAUUUAAAAAUCUUUUAUGAGUGAUAAUUUUCUUUUCUUUUUCUACUUGGACUUUCUUGCUUUCAUCAACAUGAUCUGGGUGUCUUUUCAUGUCAGCAAAGAGAUUGACUCCUUUAUUUUUAACUCUGUAAGCUUGAGAGCAGAUGGGUAAACCGUAAUUUAUUUAACCAAUCCCUGUGAAUGGGCAUUUGGAUUAUUUCUCAGUUUUCACAGUCACAUACAGUACUUGUGAAAGAUCACACAGUGGAUCCAUUUAUUUAUAUAUUUCUGCAUACCUGUUUAGAUAUUUCUGGUGAAUCUGUUCCUAGGGGUGGAAUUAUUAUGUGAAAGAUCAUGGUUACUAUUUAAAUACAUACUUUUUUUUUUUAAAAAAAAACAGAAUCUCCCUCUGUUGUCCAGGCUGGAGGGGAGUAGUGCAUUAUUGGCUCACUGCAGGCUUGACCUCCCCAUCCAAGCAGUCCUCCUGCCUUAGCAUCCGGAUUAGCUGGGACUAUAGGCGUGCGCCACCAUGCCCAGCUAAUUUUUUAAUUAUUGUAGAGACAGAGUCUCACUGUGUUGCCCCAGCUGGUCUCAAACUCCUAAGUUCAAGUGAUCCUCCCACUUCAGCCUCCCAAAGUACUGGGAUUACAGGUGUGAGCCACCGUGCUGGCCAGAUAUAUACUUUUA
rnacentral:lncRNA from 1 species